AACCAGGGACUCAGCAUGACCAUGCGGAAGGGCCUCGACUCUGGCAUCAAGAGCAACAUCAGCACAAAGAUUCGAAGCUUAAACGAAGCCGGACUGAUCGAGAAAUGGAUGGGCGAGUCCAUGGGCGACUUCGGACGCUGCUCUGCAUCGGCCUCCGAUGCCCAGCAGGUGAAGCGGAUGGACCUGCAGGACGCGCGGCCCCACCUGGUCCUGUGGGUCCUGAGUCUCGCCCUGUCGUCGG